ensembl:rRNA 5S_rRNA 5S ribosomal RNA
CCAUACCACCCUGAAUGCGCCCGAUCUCGUCUGAUCUCAGACGUUAAGCAGGGUCGGGCCUGGAUAAUACUUGGAUGAGAAGACUGCCUGGGAAUACGGGAG